rnacentral:rRNA from 1 species
CUAUAACGGUCCUAAGGUAGCGAAAUUCCUUGUCGGGUAAGUUCCGACCUGCACGAAUGGCAUAACGAUGGCCACACUGUCUCCUCCCGAGACUCAGUGAAGUUGAAAUGUUUGUGAUGAUGCAAUCUACCCGCGGCUAGACGGUAAGACCCCAUGAACCUUUACUGCAGCUUUGCAUUGAACUGUGAACCGAUUUGUGUAGGAUAGGUGGGAGGCAGAGAAGAGGCCACGCCAGUGGCCUUGGAGCCGACCUUGAAAUACCACCCUGAUUUGUUUGCGGUUCUAACCACGGACAGUGAUCCUGUCUUGGGACCGUGCAUGGUAGGCAGUUUGACUGGGGCGGUCUCCUCCUAAAGGGUAACGGAGGAGUACGAAGGUACGCUAGGUACGGUCGGAAAUCGUGCUGAUAGUGCAAUGGCAAAAGCGUGCUUGACUGCGAGAGCAACAACUCGAGCAGAUGCGAAAGCAGGUCAUAGUGAUCCGGUGGCUCUGAAUGGAAGGGCCAUCGCUCAACGGAUAAAAGGUACUCUGGGGAUAACAGGCUGAUACCGCCCAAGAGUUCAUAUCGACGGCGGUGUUUGGCACCUCGAUGUCGGCUCAUCUCAUCCUGGGGCUGUAGUCGGUCCCAAGGGUAUGGCUGUUCGCCAUUUAAAGAGGUACGUGAGCUGGGUUUAAAACGUCGUGAGACAGUUUGGUCCCUAUCUGCCGUGGGCGUUGGAAGAUUGACGGGGGCUGCUCCUAGUACGAGAGGACCGGAGUGGACGCACCUCUGGUGUACCGGUUGUCACGCCAGUGGCAUUGCCGGGUAGCUAAGUGCGGAAGAGAUAACCGCUGAAAGCAUCUAAGCGGGAAACUUGCCUGAAGAUGAGUCUUCCCGGAGGUUGAACCUCCCUCAAGAGUCGUCCGAGACCAGGACGUCGAUAGGUCAGGUGUGUAAGCGCUGUAAGGCGUUGAGCUAACUGAUACUAAUUGCUCGUGAGGCUUGAUCCU